UACAGAGGGUGCAAGCGUUAAUCGGAAUUACUGGGCGUAAAGCGCGCGUAGGUGGUUCGUUAAGUUGGAUGUGAAAUCCCCGGGCUCAACCUGGGAACUGCAUUCAAAACUGUCGAGCUAGAGUAUGGUAGAGGGUGGUGGAAUUUCCUGUGUAGCGGUGAAAUGCGUAGAUAUAGGAAGGAACACCAGUGGCGAAGGCGACCACCUGGACUGAUACUGACACUGGAGGUGCGAAAGCGUGGGGAGCAAACAGG
rnacentral:rRNA from 1 species